AGAGUUUGAUCCUGGCUCAGAUUGAACGCUGGCGGCAGGCCUAACACAUGCAAGUCGAGCGGUAGAGAGAAGCUUGCUUCUCUUGAGAGCGGCGGACGGGUGAGUAAUGCCUAGGAAUCUGCCUAGUGGUGGGGGAUAACGUUCGGAAACGGACGCUAAUACCGCAUACGUCCUACGGGAGAAAGCGGGGGACCUUCGGGCCUCGCGCCAUUAGAUGAGCCUAGGUCGGAUUAGCUAGUUGGUGAGGUAAUGGCUCACCAAGGCGACGAUCCGUAACUGGUCUGAGAGGAUGAUCAGUCACACUGGAACUGAGACACGGUCCAGACUCCUACGGGAGGCAGCAGUGGGGAAUAUUGGACAAUGGGCGAAAGCCUGAUCCAGCCAUGCCGCGUGUGUGAAGAAGGUCUUCGGAUUGUAAAGCACUUUAAGUUGGGAGGAAGGGUAGUAACUUAAUACGUUGCUACUUUGACGUUACCGACAGAAUAAGCACCGGCUAACUUCGUGCCAGCAGCCGCGGUAAUACGRAGGGUGCAAGCGUURWUCGGAAUUAYUGGGCGUAAAGCGCGUGUAGGCGGUYUGWUWAGUCUGRUGUGAAAGCCCUGGGCUCAACCYRGGAAGUGCAUUGGAUACUGKCARACUUGARUACGGGAGAGGRUAGUGGAAUUYCKAGUGUAGGRGUGAAAUCCGUAGAUAUUMGRAGGAACACCGGUGGCGAAGGCGGCUAYCUGGACCGAUAYUGACGCUGAGACGCGAAAGCGUGGGKAGCAAACAGGAUUAGAUACCCUGGUAGUCC
rnacentral:rRNA from 1 species